UACAGAGGUCUCAAGCGUUGUUCGGAUUCAUUGGGCGUAAAGGGUGCGUAGGCGGCGCAGUAAGUCGGGUGUGAAAUCUUGGAGCUUAACUCCGAAACUGCAUUCGAUACUACCGUGCUUGAGGACUGGAGAGGAGACUGGAAUUUACGGUGUAGCGGUGAAAUGCGUAGAUAUCGUAAGGAAGACCAGUGGCGAAGGCGGGUCUCUGGACAGUUCCUGACGCUGAGGCACGAAGGCCAGGGGAGCAAACGGG
rnacentral:rRNA from 1 species